UUACGUUCAUACCACUAGCCUAUUAUACAACGUCAUCUUACGACUGUUUGAUGUUGCAUCACUCUCAAGCAGAUUUAUUGGGCCUAUAAUUGUCAAAAAAGCACGUUAAUGGGCCUCAUAGUUAGAUAUCAUCAAAACUAAUUUACGCGGAUUUUCUCUAAUUUUUAUUCCAAUUCGAUUUUGAGGAUCUUGUCCCAUCCACAGAAGCGAUGGAUAUAGAGGUGAUGAAGCUAAGAAGAAGAAGAUGGGUGCGAAGAAGAGCUUAGAGGAGUUGAGGGAAGAAAGGUUGAAGAGGAAGAGGGUUGAGAAGGAAAGACAGAGAGCCAGAGAGACUGUGGUUUUUACCGGAGGCACAGUAAACGUAUUGUCAUCAGAAGAAGAAUAGAUAAUCGAAUAUGUGUGUAUAGAUGUUUCAACAGAUAGAAAAAGUGGAAAGGAUGUGAAGUGAAUUUGGUGAUAGAUUAAAUCACAAAGAUGACAACGAAGACUUGAUGCAGAAGUUCCUGCAGGCCUGGAAGGUUUCAAUGCCCAAUAGGUUACACGGCUAGUCUUGUAUUGCUUGUUUCUCUAUGUCUGUAAGCAAGUGUGGUAGACUUUAACACAAAUUGCAUUUGCAUCAAACCACAGGAUGACAAAAAAGAGGAAAGAAGAGUCAAUGCAGAGAGAUUUAAAGGCUGUUUCACAUUUUCGAAAAGCCCUUUUGUUAUAUGUGGAUAUAUGUUUAUAAAGAAUUAAUCCUUCGAUAGUC